GCCAGUGUGGUAUAGAGGUUUGAAAGUUAGUCUAAGAAUCUGGAAAUCAGGGUUCAAAUCACUGCUCAGCCA